rnacentral:rRNA from 1 species
UGCGUAGGCGGUGUCCUAAGUCAGUUGUGAAAUACGGCAGCUUAACUGUCGAGGUGCAAUUGAUACUGGGAUACUUGAGUACUGAUGAGGUAUGCGGAAUGGACGGUGUAGCGGUGAAAUGCUUAGAUAUCGUCCAGAACACCGAUAGCGAAGGCAGCAUACUAAGGAGUAACUGACGCUGAGGCACGAAAGUGUGGGGAUCAAACAGGAUUAGAUACCCUGGUAGUCCACACUGUAAACGAUGAUCACUCGAUGUUGGCGAUACACAGCCAGCGUCUUAGCAAAAGCGAUAAGUGAUCCACCUGGGGAGUACGCCGGCAACGGUGAA